UAAGCAGUCAUGCCCCACCACCAAAGGGCAGGGUAAUGGAUCUUGGAUGUGCUUGCAGCCUCCCCUCGAGUGGUUGCUCGUCCCAAACUCAUUAGCCAUGUAUUGUGUUGCCAAUGGGUAGUGGAGUGUAAAUACACCUCCACCAGCAUUGUCAUGAUAAUGUGCGCUUCCAGUCGUCUGCACAAGACAAAUCAAACUUCC
rnacentral:misc_RNA from 1 species